CUGGAAUGAUGACAGUUAGCCAAAUCAGAAUAUGGUGUGCUCCUCUAGACUAUUCUGCUUUAGUGCUAUUGGUGAAAAUUUUCUUUGAAGUACCAAGCACAUGAUCUUAAGACUAGA